GCGAAGAUGGUGGAACUGGUAGACACGUACGUUUCAGAUGCGUAUGCCGCAAGGUAUGAGGGUUCGAGUCCCUUUCUUCGCACCA
rnacentral:tRNA from 1 species